UAAUGGCGAUGAAGAAACGUUAGCAGUAGUAGACGAAGAAGACGAAGUAGCAGUAGAAGAAGAAGAAGGGAAUUCCACAGGCUUUCUUGAACGAUUACGACCACGAUGCAUAUGUCGCUCACAGUAUUUCGAAUCUGGUAUGUAGGGGAAUUUGCGACACUUUCUACAAACUCUUGCUAAAGGCGUCGCUAUUGACGGUUUCCACAAGAGCUGCUAGUCCUGAUGCAACAAUUUCUGCAACCUCUUCUGAAAAAUGUUACAUGUUGAAUUAUUUAUCUUUUAGGAAGUUUUUCAACUUUUGCAAGCAAUGGAUGUUUUUCUCAAGUGAAAGCUUCAACAACAACAUUACUAGAAGAGGUUUGGUCCCUUUAAAUGUCCCUUUAGGAACGGACCUGACAUUUUAUAUUGGCGUACAAAAUGUCACUAGACUUGGUUGAUUUAUACACAUAUAAUUUUAAUGCAUGACUGUGAUGCUCA